UCUCAUGUCAAACUCACGGUGCAUGCCUUGCAGGUAUGGUCCUCCGCAUAAUUUUCCUUACCCAAAUUCUUUUAGCCAGAUCUGAUUUCCUCGCCAACACGGUAUCCUACCAUGGGGCAUCUCCUUCAAUCGCGACGCCUCUGACACCCACCUCCCCGGCCAUGCCUGAUGCCAGCCCUUCCCACCGUCGGCCGGGCCUCCGAUUCUCAGGCGCCCCUCCUCCUGCUGAUGGGAAGCACCCCACGGGAGGGAUGCACGGGCGUAUACCUGCCUGGCAGCCGGCCGCCAUGGCAAGCGGCCGCGGGCAGGGCAAGUGACCAAGACGACGAUACGCGGCGGAGCUCCGGGCAUGGCCGAUGGAGACGACCACGGCAGCGGGACGAUGGCACUGGGCAUGCCCGCUGAGCGAUGGCCGCGUCAUCGAUGCCUGUCCCCAACUCCCCAUCCCCGUCCCUAAGCUCUAUCUCCGCGCGCUAGGUCGUCGGCAACUAGCUUUACUCAAGCUUUGACUAUUAAUCUGUAAUAGUGAUAGAUGUAUGAGCAACAUCAGCAGCAUCACGUGAGUUUGGGAAUGGCUGACAUGUGCGGCAUCAUGCUCGGGAACGAGGUAUCCCACGUUGGCCGUCGGUGAGCAGGUGAUCUUCAGCGAAUUUUUGAUGGCCUCCGACCGUGAGGAUGAAGUGGACAUCCGCACACUUGAGCUCGGCCAGAGAACCUCAACAGAGGAGAUACGUUUCUAUCCAUUCUUCUUAAUUCCUCCCUUCUCGCUUGUAAACUUUGUCCACUCACAUCUCUAUUCUGCCUUUCUCAAAUCCACCCACCAUAGCAUCUUUCUAAGAUGAAUGCUUGCUUACUGUAAUAGGAUUUGGGACCAGAGGGAGAAUGUAUUUAUUAUUUGUUACUUAGUUCAACUACCUAUGAUAUACGAGUUGGAAUGAUUAUACAAAAUAAUUUAGUCUUUUCAUACAUAUUUGCAUCUUUAUAAGAUGAAUGCUUGCUUGCUGUAAUAGGAUUUGGGACCAUACGGAGAAUGUAUUUAUUAUUUGCACUUGCUUCUCCUCAUAUUUUGUUGUAGAUUUGUGCAUUGUUGGGCAAUGUUAAGAUGCUAAGCAAGUGCUUCUUGUUGCAUGGUUAUGAUUCUCUCAUAUUUUCUGAAACAGUGGGCGUGCCAAAUUCUAGACUACAGAGUUAGAUUUACAUUGAUGUCAUUGUCCAACAGCUAUUUCUUUCUAUAUAAUAAUUAAUUGUCCUUAAUAACAGGGCAUAGUUCAGCAGCUAUUUCUUUGUGAAUAUUAAUCACUUGUCCUAUAUUUCUUGAUGCGUUGAAGGGGCAAUACAUUCUCUGUUUUUAUUUUAUUUUGAAGAAACAUGAGGUUUACUCACUGAUGCAAUGACCCAGGGGUGAAAUGAUUGAUAGCACAGUAAAACUACCAAAACCAACAAGAAGAUCAUCAGGGGCACAUAUUGUUGCUAAAAAAAUUCAGCACAUGUGCGCACAUGCCACCUAGAACAGAGGACAAGCAAAAGCCUUUCUUACUAAAUUUUUUUGAUCUGUUAUGAAUCUGUUGUUCUAGAUUUCUGCAAUGUUUUUUCAGAUUUAUGAUUACUGGUCUUUAUUUGAACUAAUGAAUCUAUGCCAUUAGGCAUACCGUUUUCAUCCUAUCAGUUCAUGAAGUACAUCUUCUUGUGCAUAGUAUUAUUAAUUUUUUUAUUCAUCUAUGAUUUGGCAGGGAAAAUAUAAGGGAGUAGGCAUUUGUUUGAUAAAUCUCCAACAACAGUUUUGAAUUGAAUAGUUAUCAUGUUACCCAGGUCAUGUUGUUAAGAAGCGCCUGGAAACUUCUAGCACAUAAGUGAAAAGAUGAAUGAAGAAUAAGGGAACAACAAACAGUUGAAGGAAAAGCUCAUAAUUCUGAGCUCACUAGAAUAAUGGAACACCAAAGUAGUGGAUAUUCCUUGAGUGAAAUCUAUAGAUAAGAAUUUAACUCUAUUGUUAUGUGUUGGUAGCUCUACACUAUCCAUAUAAUUAUUUAAAGCCACAAUACUUGGUUAUCUAUUUAUAUCCAUGUUUUACAGAACCAUGUUAUAUAUUUAGCACAAUUCUCUC